AAUAUUGCACAAUGGGCGAAAGCCUGAUGCAGCGACGCCGCGUGGGGGAUGACGGCCUUCGGGUUNUAAACUCCUUUCAGUAGGGANGAAGCGAGAGUGACGGUACCUGCAGAAGAAGCGUCGGCUAACUACGUGCCCGCAGCCGCGGUACUACGUAGGGCGCAAGCGUUGUCCGGAAUUAUUGGGCGUAGAGGGCUGGUAGGUGGCUUGUCGCGUCGGCCGUGAAAACCCGAGGCUCAACCUCGGGCGUGCGGUGGGUACGGGCAGGCUAGGGUGUGGUAGGGGAGACUGGAACUCCUGGUGUAGCGGUGAAAUGCGCAGAUAUCAGGAAGAACACCGAUGGCGAAGGCAGGUCUCUGGGCCAUUACUGACACUGAGAAGCGAAAGCAUGGGUAGCGAACA
rnacentral:rRNA from 1 species